rnacentral:rRNA from 1 species
UACGGGAGGCAGCAGUGGGGAAUAUUGCACAAUGGGCGAAAGCCUGAUGCAGCUAUGCCGCGUGUAUGAAGAAGGCCUUAGGGUUGUAAAGUACUUUCAUCGGGGAGGAAAAAACAAAACUAAUAAUUUUAUUUCUUGACGUUACCCGAAAAAGAAGCACCGGCUAACUCCGUGCCAGCAGCCGCGGUAAUACGGAGGGUGCUAGCGUUAAUCAGAAUUACUGGGCGUAAAGAGCACGUAGGUGGUUUUUUUAAGUCAGAUGUGAAAUCCCUGGGCUUAACCUAGGAACUGCAUUUUGAAACUGAAAUACUAGAGUAUCGUAGAGGGAGGUAGAAUUCUAGGUGUAGCGGUGAAAUGCGUAGAUAUCUGGAGGAAUACCUGUGGCGAAAGCGGCCUCCUAAACGAAUACUGACACUGAGGGUGCGAAAGGCGUGGGGAGCGAAACAGGGAUUAGAUACC